rnacentral:rRNA from 1 species
UACAGAGGGAGCAAGCGUUGUUCGGAAUUACUGGGCGUAAAGGGCGCGUAGGCGGCCUUCUAAGUCGAACGUGAAAUCCCCGGGCUCAACCCGGGAACUGCGUCCGAUACUGGAAGGCUUGAAUCCGGGAGAGGGAUGCGGAAUUCCAGGUGUAGCGGUGAAAUGCGUAGAUAUCUGGAGGAACACCGGUGGCGAAGGCGGCAUCCUGGACCGGCAUUGACGCUGAGGCGCGAAAGCCAGGGGAGCAAACGGG